rnacentral:rRNA from 1 species
UAGUCCACGCCGUAAACGAUGUCUACUAGCAGCUCGCCUCGUUUAGAGGGUUUUGCGCAGCUAACGCGUUAAGUAGACCGCCUGGGGAGUACGGCCGCAAGGUUAAAACUCAAAUGAAUUGACGGGGCCCGCACAAGCGGUGGAGCAUGUGGUUUAAUUCGAUGCAACGCGAAGAACCUUACCAUCCCUUGACAUCCAGAGAAUUUUCUAGAGAUAGAUUAGUGCCUUUCGGGAACUCUGAGACAGGUGCUGCAUGGCUGUCGUCAGCUCGUGUUGUGAAAUGUUGGGUUAAGUCCCGCAACGAGCGCAACCCUUAUCCUUAGUUGCUAACNGUUAGGCUGAGAACUCCAAGGAGACUGCCGGUGACAAACCGGAGGAAGGUGGGGACGACGUCAAGUCAUCAUGGCCUUACGGGGAUGGGGCUACACACGUGCUACAAUGGCAAGUACAAAGGGUUGCAAAC